rnacentral:rRNA from 1 species
AGAACGAACGCUGGCGGCGUGGAUAAGACAUGCAAGUCGAACGCGACUUAUUUUGUUAGCAAUAACAGAGUAAGUUGAGUGGCGAAAGGGUGCGUAACACGUGGGAAUUUACCAAGAAGUGGGGAAUAGCUCGACGAAAGUCGAAUUAAUACCGCAUGUGAUCGAAAGAUCAAAGUCGGGGACCGCAAGGCCUGACGCUUUUUGAGAAGCCCGCGGCCCAUCAGCUAGUUGGUGAGGUAAUGGCUCACCAAGGCUAUGACGGGUAGCUGGUCUGAGAGGACGACCAGCCACACUGGAACUGAGACACGGUCCAGACACCUACGGGUGGCAGCAGUCGAGAAUUUUUCACAAUGGACGAAAGUCUGAUGGAGCGACGCGCGUGAGGAUGAGUCUGGAUUGUAAACUCUGUCACUGCAGAACAAGGAUACGUUCGUUAAUAGCAAAC